rnacentral:lncRNA from 1 species
CCCCAGUGCCUUUCUUACAGGAACUCACCCUGAAUGCCUCUCAUGUUGUCUUAUAAUGGAAAUGACGCCCACCUGAGAGGUGCUGGAACUGAGUUCCUGUGAGUUCCAACUGAAAAAAGCCCUGGAUUUCAGCAAAGCAAUUACUGCUGUAUUUAGAAUAUCCAUUUUUCAAAGUUUUAUUAUUAUCAGUCAAAUCUAUAUUUCUGCUUUCGUCUUCACUUUCCUUGAAGGGUAUUUUUGAGUUUCAAUAUGACAGAAAAACAAGAGCAACGAUGAGGCACCCACUUCAGCAUUAUGUCGUAAUUGUACAUGUGUACAUGGUGCUUUCUUUGAAGUUAAAGGAUCUGCUUUCUUAAUUAGAUGUACAGGAAAUACAUGAAGACUAGAAUACUCACCCGCUCUCUGGAUUGGGACAGCUAUGUAUGUUGGGUGGGGUGUGUGCAUGAUUAUUUCUCAAGUGGUGCUAUAUUUGCAUAAAGGUUUUUCCCUAUGGCAUUUAAAAUUACUAUCUCACAAUUUACCUUUCCACACAUAGUACGUAUAGGCUGGAUAUGCUGAAACAUGGGGGGGGGGGGUUGUUUCGUUUAAAUAUUCUCACAGGGAAUAAUUUUUCAAGCUGUAAGAGAAUGUUUUGUCAUUAUUACAUUUAAUUUUAAUUUUUACUUAAGGAAUAGUAUUUUGUAGUAAUAUCUUCUCACCCCACCUCCUAUUACCACUAUUCUACUUUUCUGAGAAGAAAGGUGGGACAUAAACAUGAAUUUUAAAAAUGUGAAUAAUGCAACAUAUAGUAACAUCAAAAUUCAUAAAGACAUGCUUAAUACAUAGUAAAGAAGCCACAUGAUUUGGACAGUAUCUAAAAUUUCAAUACUGUAUAACCAGACUUGAACAGAGAAGUUCCUGUUCUAAAAAACAACCUAUUGAUCCUAGACAAGUCUUAGUCACACUGCUACCGAAAGUGGCCACACUUUUUCCUUUCCAGAGCUUAGUUAUUCCAAAACUCACAGCUACAUUCCCCUUCUAUAAUUACAAGGAGGGAAAGAAUAAACCAAUUAUAAAUCCCCAGAAACUAUUUGGGGUGGGGCUUUUUAAAUACAUAAUUUCCAAUUAAAGUCUGUAUCACUUCUGAAUUUGUUAAUAUCUUCCCUCCCUGGCAUAAUGUGUCUUCAAAACAACAGCAACCCAGCAACAACAUUGUAACAUUUUUAUCUUUUGGGGGGUUACUUUGACACUUGCUGCCUUCUGCAGCUACUUUUCCAAGAUAAGCUAAAAGCACAGGACACAAUAUAGCAGCAUAUUACCUUCUAGCAAUCCUCCCCAAUGGACAAAAUCUUUCUCUAAUGUUUAUUCAGAAGUCACCAAAGGUUCCCUGCAACUUCUAAUUCUAUGCCAUCUUCUCCUAUUGCUUCCUAUUCCGCAGUGUUACCGAUAGAUAGCUUCUUAGUUGCUCGUUAAUUAGCCACUUGCCAUUUCCCAUGGAGGUGCUUUAAUUACUGGUUUCCUCUCAUUAUUUGAAAUCCCCAAACGUAGAAAAGCUGUUCUGUCUAGUUCACAUUUGACUAGGUCUCCAUCGCCUAAUGGCCAAGACCAAUGGCAUCCAAAAGAGACUGAAUAGGAAUAGGCAAAUCUGUCCAUUUUUGUUUCUCACGGUUUCUCAUUUUUCCAUUCUUAAAAUCCAUUCUUAACCUUACUGCAGCAGCUUGUGGGUUUUUGUUUUUUUUAAAGUCCUCGUGAAAAUUUAAGUACAUGUUUGUGCAGAUUUCUCCUAAUACACACAUUUUUUGCCUAAUAUAAACAUUUUUGCAAUAAAAUCCCCAUAUAAUGCAUUUUUGUAUGCUGUCUUGACUAAUAUAUACAUUGUAAUGCACACUUUACCUUAGGAUAUGCAUUAUUGUACACAUUACUUGGCUGGAGAGCUACAUUGCAUAAUUCGUAGAAGUGUGAAUUUUCAGUUUGUGUGUUGCUUUGGAAACUGACUUUAAAUGUGAAUUGAAUUUCUCCCCCAUCCCUCCUUUUCCCCAUUGGUGAAAGAAAAUCCCCGAGAAGCAAGAAGGCUGUCCAUUCACCCACGAGGCACUUGCUUUCUGAGCAGCAGAGAAGGAGAUGAUGGCAACUGUAGCAAGGAGACAAGUGGGCACAUUUCCUGCAAGCAAGUGAUGAGGCAAGGGGGAAUGACUGAGAUGGAGAUUGACUGAGAUGAAGAACCCAUAGUUCUCCAGUUCACAUCAUUCCUAAUGUAAAUGCUCCCAAGCAUCUGGUAGUUCUGGAGAUGGCAGCUGAUCCCAGUUUAGAAUGCCCAUCCCAGUUUACAAGCAGUUUACAGCUGCUGCCAUGGGUGGAUCUAGAUACAGGAAAAGAAACACUAGAAAUAAG